UACGUAGGGGGGCUAGCGUUGUCCGGAAUCAUUGGGCGUAAAGCGCGCGUAGGCGGCCCGGUAAGUCCGCUGUAAAAGUCAAAGGCUCAACCUUUGAAUGUCAGUGGAUACUGCCGGGCUAGAGUCCGGAAGAGGCGAGUGGAAUUCCUGGUGUAGCGGUGAAAUGCGCAGAUAUCAGGAGGAACACCAAUGGCGAAGGCAGCUCGCUGGGACGUGACUGACGCUGAGACGCGAAAGCGUGGGGAGCAAACAGG
rnacentral:rRNA from 1 species